GAUGGAAGCCCUAGUAGAGCCGGGCGCAUGCUUCUUCAUUCUUCUUUGUUUCCCCUUUCUGAUUUUCAAACUAGAGCUCUCGUUAUUAUAUAAAAAAUUUGGACAUUUGCCGUGACACAUGCAGCGGCUGCCGCAGUGGAUAGCAUUGAGAAGGUUGCCCCAGAUUUAUUUUCUAACUAGACACAGAUUACCCGAUACAACACCGAACCGAAUCCAAAUGCUGUAGACAAAUAAGUCUGUCAACUCCCUCUAAGCAUCCCCCAACUCAUUUAUGAUUGAAUUUUUCUAAUUACCCUCUACUAACGAUUUUUAGGAUGAUACGGAUGCACGUUGAUAAGGAGUCAUGCUAAGGCAAGGGCUGCUAGUUUUGCCCGCGCUGGACUACGGCAUUUAGGCCUGGGUGGGAGCGCCUCACCUGUGAUUCAGUAAACGAUGCCGAAGAAGAAGCACAGCGACAGUGACGAAGAAGAAGACAUCUUCUAUUACCGCUAUGCUUCCUCUUCAGCUUCUUCCGCACCGUCUUCAAACCCCAACAGAACCCUCAAGACUCACGGUGGCUCCGGCGGCCUAGCUCCCUCUAAAUCUACCCUCUACGUCUCCAACCUCGACUUCUCCCUCACUAACUCCGACCUCCAUACCCUCUUCUCUACCUUCGGCAAGAUCGCCCGAGUCACUGUUCUCAAGGACCGAGUCACUCGCCAGAGCCGUGGCGUUGCUUUCAUCCAAUACGUUUCUCGCGAUGAUGCACAAAAAGCCGUGCGCGAGAUGAACCGCAAAAUCCUCAACGGUAGGACCUUGACUGCUUCCAUCGCCGCCGAUAACGGCCGAGCUCCGGAAUUUAUAAAGAAAAGGGUUUAUAAGGAUAAGAGUCGGUGUUAUGAGUGUGGGGAAUCAGGACAUUUGUCUUAUGAGUGUCCCAGGAAUCAACUGGGGCCCAGGGAACGUCCGAUUCCGAAGCGUGAACGACGUGGUGGGGGCGGAGGCGGUGGUGGGGGCGGGUACCGGCGGACCGAGGAGGAUGAUGACGAUGGAUCCGACGGUGGGGACCGGUUUGCGGAUGAUAAUUGGGCUUCUAUUGUGGAUAAUGGGGCGGAUGAAAGGUUGCUGACUGGCAAUGACAAGGUUGUGGAGAAGAAGAAGGCGAAGAAAGCAAGCUAUUUCAGUGAUGAGAGUGGUGACGAAGAUGAUUGAUCUUUUGUUAGAAACGAAGUGAGCAAUUGAAGAGUUCUUAUGGAGAUUGAUGGGUAAUUGAUAUUGGAGAUAAGGCCUUCGCUGGACUUUUCUGGACAGCCGAAGUUUGUCUUUGACAUAGACCUUAUGUUUUUCUGUGAAUAACCAUAAUAACAAAGGAAUUGGACAUAGUCUCUCAAAUUUGUUUCAAAGACCAAACCAGGGUCGAGAGCCCUAAGUGGGUUAACUUCUCCAACUCCCAUUUCAUGUGGAUUGGCAAUGUAGCUUGAGCUAUUGGUUAAAGGCUUCCUCAUGUUGUUGUAAAUUGUUGCUGAAAGUUGGAAAUGAAACAAAACAGGGACUCCAACUAUGAUGAACUGAUUUUAUCAGUGCUGCAGCACCUGUCACGUGGGGGCAAGCCAUAGAUGUACCAGAUUUUAUGCUAUAUAGGGACGGUUUCUUCCCAACUGGAACACUUCCUGGUUCAGAAUUUUGGGGAACCACUGCAGCUAGAAUUCCAAUUCCUGGAGCCAUAAUAUCAGGCUGACCAAUGGAGUUUUUGUAGUUAGUAUAAGAAAAGCCUUGUAAAUGUCAUGGUCUUGUACAAUUGUAUAUCCAUCUAUAGGUUAGUUUGCAUAUAGGGACAUGCGAUGGAAAAAUACCUUCAGAAUGUUUUCUGUUAGGCUUGAAGGACCUCUAGAUGAGAAAGAUGCAACAACUGGUGAAGGUCUAUAUCUUGGAGCUUCUGUUGUUGGAAGGAUUGUUGCAGUUGGAUUCCUGCCAUAGAGGCAUAAAUAAUGAUUUUGGAAGAAUCGCUAUGAGUACGAAGAUGGUGCAGCCUGCAGCAUGAGAAAUGAUAAGCAUUUUGAAGUUGGUUGUGCUUACUUGGUAGAGUUUAUGUACUCAAGGAUCUGAUACCCUUCAAGAUUACCAACUUCUGUAAAGGGGAAGACACCUGCGUCAUAAGGAACAUCUUUCUUGUCCUCAUCAAUAAGUAUCAACCCCAUGGCCUUUGCAUCUUGUAAAACUAGCUUCUUGAUUCGCCUUGAAACAGUUGGAUCAUCAGCAACACAAACAACAAUGCUGCCAGCAACUUUUGUGGGUAAAUUUGGCAGCAAUGUCCUUUCCGAAGACAAGAGGAUACAUCUCUGAACGAGUUAGGUUUGAAAAGUGGACGCCGGAACCCUGGCAUAGAAAACAAAGGUCACAAUGUAUUAUAUUUCCAGCACUUCAAAGAAAGUCUCUGAACCUAUCUACCUGUACAGUUUAUUUCCCCCGUUUUGAAGGGGACACGAGUCUAGAAAUAGAUUCAUUUUGUAUACAAUAGGUAAAGGGAAUAUGGACGUUUGGUGAAACCUACUUUUAGUGUAUCAUUAUGUCCGUUUGCAUUGGCUCUGUGGGUGUGUGCACACGUGGGUAUACGUUAGAAUUUGGGAGAGUAUCAAUGAAGGACCCCUUAAAAAAUGUAAUAUUUGACAAGGAUCCUAGACAGAUUGGAUACUUGUUAAAAUAAUAAUUUCACUUGUUAUUUAUUAAUGUUUACUCAUUAGAAAUUCUUGUUAGAUAUUAAAUUCUUUCAAGGUCUUUCAUUGAUAUCCUCCCAAUUUUUUUUGAUAAGCAAGAGACAUACUUGGAAAGUUUUCCCAUUCCCAAGGACAAUAGCUGACUGGAAGGUCCUGUCAAUAUUAGAAGCCGCAACAGUGAAUACCCAUGGAGCUGUAUUGACAACAGAGUAAGAAUCAGGGCCAUCAUUCCCUGCAGAGCACACCACCAUGACCCCCAUUUCUUCAGCAUGAAAUGCUCCAAUGGCUAUGGGAUCAUUCAAAAAGUCUGAUUGAAAGAGUGAGCUGAGCCCAAUGGAGAUGGAGAUUAUGUCCACUCCAUCUUUUAUAGCAUCAUCAAUAGCCUUCAGAAUGGUGGAGCCAAGGCAGCCAUCUUCUGAGCAUGCCUUGUAGGCAGCAAUCCUGGUAGAAGGCGAGCCCCCUCUUGCAGUUCCCUUUGCUAAGCCAUAAUAAUUAGCAUUUUCAACGCUGCUGCCUGCUGCUGUUGAUGCAGUGUGAGUGCCAUGACCAACAGAGUCUCUAGGGGACCCUCUGCCUUUUAGGUGGUGAGUCUUGUUACCAUCCAGUGUAAUUUCUAGAUCAUAAUAUCUUGCUCCUAUCAGUUUCCUGCGAUUAUACUGUCACACUCUUGAGAAUUAUAAUGGAUGAUAGACUCAAUAUGUAACGUGAAUUGUAUGGAAGAAUAGAUUUGGAUCUAAAUUUUAUCCAAAGGGAGUGUGGAUAUCAAAUGAAUGAAAAGUUUCAUUAUUAAA